rnacentral:rRNA from 1 species
GUCAGAAAAUGGCUGCUAAAUACCGCAUAAGCGCACAGAGACUGCAUGGCUCAGUGUGAAAAACUCCGGUGGUAUAAGAUGGACCCGCGUUGGAUUAGCUUGUUGGUGGGGUAACGGCCCACCAAGGCGACGAUCCAUAGCCGGCCUGAGAGGGUGAACGGCCACAUUGGGACUGAGACACGGCCCAGACUCCUACGGGAGGCAGCAUG